rnacentral:rRNA from 1 species
UACGUAGGGGGCAAGCGUUAUCCGGAUUUACUGGGUGUAAAGGGAGCGUAGACGGUAAUGUAAGUCUGAUGUGAAAGCCCGGGGCUCAACCCCGGGACUGCAUUGGAAACUAUGUAACUAGAGUACCGGAGAGGUAAGCGGAAUUCCUAGUGUAGCGGUGAAAUGCGUAGAUAUCAGGAGGAACACCAGUGGCGAAGGCGGCUUACUGGACGGAAACUGACGUUGAGGCUCGAAAGCGUGGGGAGCAAACAGG